AUGGCUAAUGCAAGGAGCAAGUUCAUGCAACCAGAUGAAGACACGCCGUUUGGUCGACACUUGAAGGAAGUCACCAAGUACUUGAACAUAGGAAUACCAAGCAUCACCGGAACCUACAACACCACAUUACCUGAAAAGGAGAGCUGGAAGAUUCAACUUAUCAUUCCAGGAAGGACGUUUGUGCCAACUACUGAACCCAUAAGAUUGGUUUUCGAAGCACCAACUUGGAGUUUAGGGAAGAGCAUGGCCGCACACAUCGCCAUGGGACGCAUUGGAGAAGUCUACCACCAGGAGCUUAAGGAUACCAUUUAUCAGAUUUGUGGACGUCGAGAUGCGCAAUGGGAGAUGAUCAAGACCAAGAAGGAUGGAUCAAUUGCAGCUUUCAUCCAGGAGCAGAACCAACAUAUUCGACGCCAGGAGAACCAGAUGUGCACGGACAAGGAAGAACUGAAGAAGGCAUUAACGAAGAUCAAGGAGCUCCAAGAAGAACUCAAGGCUACACGCGAAGAUUAUUUGGAGGAAAUCAACGCACUAGUAGGGAAGAUUGACGACCUGGAGAAGAAGAUUGGAGUAUUCGUGGGAAAUCCAGUGCCAAAAGCAGAAGUCGACGAAUGCACUUGUCCGGAUAACUACAUCAUCAUCGACGACACCGACUCGGAACCAAGUGAAGAUGACUUUGUUGAUGAAGCUGGAGCAGACAUCAUGGAGUCUUCAACGGAUCAGAAUUUCUAG
rnacentral:rRNA from 1 species